GCCUUCGUGGUGUAGUGGUUCUGCACGCUGGGCCAGUAUUCCAGAGAUCCGUGGUUCGAUUCCCGGCGAAGGCG
rnacentral:tRNA from 1 species